UACGAAGGGUGCAAACGUUGCUCGGAAUCAUUGGGCGUAAAGCGCACGUAGGCGGCCUGUUAAGUCGGAUGUGAAAUCCCUCGGCUCAACCGAGGACGUGCAUUCGAAACUGGCAAGCUCGAGUAUGGAAGAGGGUCGCGGAAUUCCCGGUGUAGAGGUGAAAUUCGUAGAUAUCGGGAGGAACACCAGUGGCGAAGGCGGCGACCUGGGCCAAUACUGAUGCUGAGGUGCGAAAGCGUGGGGAGCAAACAGG
rnacentral:rRNA from 1 species